ensembl:snRNA U6 U6 spliceosomal RNA
AGGCUCUGGCGGCCUAUACACUAAAUUUGGAGUGAGAUGGAGAAGAUUAACAGGGCCACUGCCCAAGAAUGACAUGCAGAUGUGUGAAGACUUACCCAUUUUU